AUUGAACGCUGGCGGCAUGCCUUACACAUGCCAGUCGAACGGCAGCACGGGUGCUUGCACCUGGUGGCGAGUGGCGAACGGGUGAGUAAUACAUCGGAACAUGUCCUGUAGUGGGGGAUAGCCCGGCGAAAGCCGGAUUAAUACCGCAUACGAUCUACGGAUGAAAGCGGGGGACCUUCGGGCCUCGCGCUAUAGGGUUGGCCGAUGGCUGAUUAGCUAGUUGGUGGGGUAAAGGGCUACAACGGCGACGAUCAGUAGCUGGUCUGAGAGGACGACCAGCCACACUGGGACUGGAACACGGCCCAGACUCCUACGGGAGGCAGCAGUGGGGAAUUUUGGACAAUGGGCGAAAGCCUGAUCCAGCAAUGCCGCGUGUGUGAAGAAGGCCUUCGGGUUGUAAAGCACUUUUGUCCGGAAAGAAAUCCUUGGCCCUAAUACGGUCGGGGGAUGACGGUACCGGAAGAAUAAGCACCGGCUAACUACGUG
rnacentral:rRNA from 1 species